rnacentral:rRNA from 1 species
CUCAGUAUUUAGUCUGCCUCUUAAGAACGUUGCUGUGUCAGCAAGGUAAGUGGGGUCAGGCCUGCUUACUACUGGGGUGGGUGACUGCCUGGGAAUACUAGGUAUUGUAGGCC